CUAAACAUUUUCCUUUUCCUUAUCCCCCACAGUUUUAUUCUUCAGAAGUUUCCAUUUUUGAAAGUUUCUUAUCUCCAUAACUCUUAAUAUAUUUUUAACCCUAUUUCUUGAUUUGUCAAACUUAACAAAAUGUGUGGAGUCUCCACUGUGAAAGACUUCUACUAACUCUUACCUUUCCAUUUUUUCCCCACUGGGGGAAGGUUUUAAGCACAGGAGAUACCCAAUUGGAUUUGAAUUUUGGAAAGAUUAUUUUGCUAGCAUAUGAAGGUGGUUUGGCAGCUGUUUCAAUAAGCCAAGCAAGAAUGCAGGUUGGAGGAAUGGGGUUUUUGAAAGCACUUAGUGAAUAGAAAGUUGAGAACCAGGGGGUUCUAGAAGCUAGAGGGAGGAAGAAGAUCACCCCUGGGUUUUGACUGGUUUCAUGGCAGGUGGUACUUACACUCUCCAAAAAAAAAGUAUGCAGGAGAAGAAAGUCAGUUUUAGUAGGGAGGAAAGAUGUUGAAUUUUACUUUGGAUAUUUUGAAUUUGACAUGUUUUAGGAAUCUAGAUAGAGAUGCUCUAUAAGGCAGCUAGAUGAAGAGUUCUGGCACCUACGCGUGAGCAGAAAAAGGGAGAUUUGUAACUUUUUCAUUUUUAUUCAUUUUCUCAUUCCUGCAUUCCUUCACUCAUUUAAAAAUUACUUAAUGAAUGCCUUCUAUGAGCUACAUGCUGGCUAUAAAAUGGAGAGAGACCAGGUAACUUUCCUCCUUUCAUAGAGUUUUUAAGCUGGGGGAGAAGAUAAGAUAUUAGCACAUAAAUUCACAAAGACAUAUGUAAUUAUAGAUUGUGGUAGGUGUUAUGAAGAGAAAACGCAGGCUUAUGUGAGAGAGUAAUAGUAUGAACCAAAUUUAGACCAAGGGGUGGGUGGGAAACAUAUGGCCAGAAACGCUUCUCUGGGUCUCAAACCAGAGGGCAUUUGAAGAGGAAGUAAUGGCUAGGCCCUGUCCUAAUUUUUGUGGAGAUAUAAUAUUCGCUUCUUAAACUGGAUACUGGUUACUAUUCACUCUGAAAAUGUGCUAUAUACAUAUGAUUUGCAUACUUUUCUCUAUGGUUAUACAUUAGUAAAAUCUUUAAAAUUUAUCAAGUUCUUAUUCCAUAAAUUUAUUUUUCUUGUCUUUGUUUCAGCAUAAAUAAUGCGUUCUAUUCAAGACUUGCCACAUAAUUUGUGUAUCAGUGACUGUAAUAUUAAGUUAAACAACUUGUCUUCAAUCAUUUUUAUUCUUAGCCUCAAAUUAGAUUGUGCCUUUAUCUCAAAUGGUCAUAACAUAGUCUCCAGAGAUAAUAGUUUUUAAAUUAUUAUUUAUUGACCUCGUCUUCAAGUCCAUACAGUUUUGUUUUUUGUUCUAAUUUCCUUGUGUUUUA
rnacentral:lncRNA from 1 species